ensembl:scaRNA SCARNA13 small Cajal body-specific RNA 13
AGUGCAGUGUCGAGAUCUUGUCUCCUGUGUCUGGAGUGGCUGGAGACUCAACGAGGCUGCACAGAUCCAACAGAAAGAGCAAAAGGCGUGACUUCUCUAGAUUCUGAAGCUUUACGUGCGAUAUUCUUUCAACAAAUCUCGUCCUGUUUUGUUUCCGAGGCGGUGAUGGUUUGUUGUGUACCGUUACCAAUCUAAAAACAGGCAGAAUAAAGCAGCGGCAGCCAGAUAUUGUCUGUGAGGAGAAGCGCGCCUUUCAGACACUUUGAAUUGCCACAAUU